GUUUAAAUAGCUUAAUAUAGAGCAUAAUAUUGAAGAUAUUAAGGUGAUUUUAGAAUCUUUAAAUA
rnacentral:tRNA from 1 species